rnacentral:tRNA from 1 species
UCUAAUAUGGCAGAUUAGUGCAAUGAACUUAAACUUCAUAAAUAAAAUUAUUUUUUUUUAGAA